GCGCCGAUAGUCUAGCCUGGUAGGACAUCAAAAUAUGUGCAAGCCUUCCAAGUUAGGAGAUAGCUGAAUACCUGGGUUCAAAUCCCAGUCGGCGCA
rnacentral:tRNA from 1 species